CAUGCUCGUGUGCAUCGAACUGUCGAAAGUCGAUCUCAUCAGUCGAAACCCCAUGCACGUUCAUUCGUGCUAUGGGUAACGGUCGGGUUCCUGUGCUGCAUACCCACUGAAGUGGAAAUCGAUUAUGUUGCUGGGUUUAUAUUCRCCCAUGCCAAUCAAGGGCAUGCGGUGAACGUGGAAGCACCUCUUGUGUACCAAACAUGUUCGUGCAACUGUUUUGGCGCAUCGGUAGGUUGCUCGUGGCCUCGGAUGCGGAAAUCGUUUUGUAGCUGAGGGAUSGGAUCUCUCAAUUGCUCGAAAUGUUCAUUAUAUACGAACGACAUGCGGCGCUUGUUUCCAACCCUCAUCAUGCCAUGAUGUUGGGAUUGGAGCUAGCGUUGCGUUCGUGAAGGAACGC
rnacentral:misc_RNA from 1 species